rnacentral:rRNA from 1 species
GUCGAACGGACUCAUAUUGAAACCUAGUGAUGUAUGAGUUAGUGGCGGACGGGCGCGUAACGCGUGGAGAACCUGCCGUAUACUGGGGGAUAACACUUAGAAAUAGGUGCUAAUACCGCAUAAGCGCACAGCUUCGCAUGAAGCAGUGUGGAAAACAAAAAGCUAAAGCUUUUGGUGGUAUACGAUGGAUCCGCGUCUGAUUAGCUGGUUGGCGGGGUAAAGGCCCACCAAGGCGACGAUCAGUAGCCGGCCUGAGAGGGUGAACGGCCACAUUGGGACUGAGACACGGCCCAAACUCCUACGGGAGGCAGCAGUGGGGAAUAUUGCACAAUGGGGGAAACCCUGAUGCAGCGACGCCGCGUGAGUGAAGAAGUAUUUCGGUAUGUAAAGCUCUAUCAGCAGGGAAGAAAAUGACGGUACCUGACUAAGAAGCCCCGGCUAACUACGUGCCAGCAGCCGCGGUAAUACGUAGGGGGCAAGCGUUAUCCGGAUUUACUGGGUGUAAAGGGAGCGUAGACGGCAGCGCAAGUCUGGAGUGAAAUCCCAUGGCUUAACCAUGGAACUGCUUUGGAAACUGUGCAGCUGGAGUGCAGGAGAGGUAAGCGGAAUUCCUAGUGUAGCGGUGAAAUGCGUAGAUAUUAGGAGGAACACCAGUGGCGAAGGCGGCUUACUGGACUGUAACUGACGUUGAGGCUCGAAAGCGUG